rnacentral:rRNA from 1 species
GAUGAACGCUGGCGGCGUGCCUAAUACAUGCAAGUCGAACGCUGGAGAUCUAGCUUGCUAGAUCGAAGGAGUGGCGAACGGGUGAGUAAUACAUAAGCAACCUACCCACGAAGACUGGGAUAAUCUCUGGAAACGGGGACUAAUACCGGAUAGGUAAUCGGAAGGAAUCUUCUGGUUAUUAAAGGUUAAAAACACUGGUGGAUGGGCUUAUGGCGCAUUAGUUAGUUGGUGAGGUAACGGCCCACCAAGACGAUGAUGCGUAGCCGGCCUGAGAGGGUGAACGGCCACAUUGGGACUGAGACACGGCCCAGACUCCUACGGGAGGCAGCAGUAGGGAAUUUUCGGCAAUGGGGGCAACCCUGACCGAGCAACGCCGCGUGAGUGAAGACGGCCUUCGGGGUGUAAAGCUCUGUUGUAAGGGAAGAACGGUAGAUAGAGAAUAUCUAAGUGACGGUACCUUACCAGAAAGCCACGGCUAACUACGUG